rnacentral:rRNA from 1 species
GAUGAACGCUAGCUACAGGCUUAACACAUGCAAGUCGAGGGGUAACGAGAGGAAAGCUUGCUUUCCUUGUCGACGACCGGCGCACGGGUGAGUAACGCGUAUCCAACCUGCCCCCAACUAGGGAAUAACCUUGCGAAAGUAAGACUAAUACCCUAUAAUUUCCUCAGAUGACAUCUGACGAGGAAUAAAGAUUUAUCGGUUGUGGAUGGGGAUGCGUCUGAUUAGCUUGUUGGCGGGGUAACGGCCCACCAAGGCAACGAUCAGUAGGGGUUCUGCGGGGAAGGUCCCCCACAUUGGAAAGGAGACACGGUCCAAACUCCUACGGGAGGCAGCAGUGAGGAAUAUUGGUCAAUGGGCGGAAGCCUGAACCAGCCAAGUAGCGUGCAGGAUGACGGCCCUAUGGGUUGUAAACUGCUUUUAUACAGGAAUAAAGUUAGCCACGUGUGGUUAUUUGUAGGUACUGUAUGAAUAAGGACCGGCUAAUUCCGUGCCAGCCGCCGCAGUAA